rnacentral:rRNA from 1 species
UACGUAGGGGGCAAGCGUUGUCCGGAUUUAUUGGGCGUAAAGAGCGUGUAGGCGGCCAUGUAGGUCCGUUGUGAAAACUCGAGGCUCAACCUCGAGACGCCGAUGGAAACCAUGUGGCUAGAGUCCGGAAGAGGAGAGUGGAAUUCCUGGUGUAGCGGUGAAAUGCGCAGAUAUCAGGAGGAACACCGGUGGCGAAGGCGGGUCUCUGGGCCGUAACUGAUGCUGAGGAGCGAAAGCGUGGGGAGCGAACAGG